ACCUUGUUGACGAGUGCUAAGUAGCACGAAACCCGGGUCCAAGGU
rnacentral:hammerhead_ribozyme from 1 species